rnacentral:rRNA from 1 species
CCUACGGGAGGCAGCAGUGGGGAAUAUUGGGCAAUGGGCGCAAGCCUGACCCAGCAACGCCGCGUGAAGGAAGAAGGCUUUCGGUUUGUAAACUUCUUUUCUCAGGGACGAAGAAAGUGACGGUACCUGAGGAAUAAGCCACGGCUAACUACGUGCCAGCAGCCGCGGUACUACGUAGGUGGGAAGCGUUCUCCGGAUGUAUUGGGUGUAAAGGGCGAGUAGGCGGGGGCGCAAGUCAGAUGUGAAAACUCAGGGCUCAACCCUGAGCCUGCAUUUGAAACUGUGUUGCUGGAGUGCUGGAGAGGCAAUCGGAAUUCCGAGUGUAGCGGUGAAAUGCGUAGAUAUACGGAGGAACACCAGUGGCGAAGGCGGAUUGCUGGACAGUAACUGACGCUGAGGCGCGAAAGCGUGGGGAGCAAACAGGAUUAGAUACCCGAGUAGUC